rnacentral:lncRNA from 1 species
CUUUUAAAAAACUGAAAGCUCAGGUUUACUUUUUGGUAAUCAUCUAGGCUUAUGGCUUUUAUAAUUGUUCUCUGUAUUCACUUGGUCUUUGCUAGCCCUGUUGCUUAGAGAGGACAGCUAACUCCCAGGCAUCUCUGACUGGAUUCUCUUCAUACUGGCUCAUUUCCUUUUCAAUAUAUUAGCAAGUCGCUCCCAGUGCACCUAAUUGUAGCUUUGUUUGACUUUCCACCUCUCUCUGCUUAUUGAACUAGAAGAAAAGUACAUUAAAGCUUAUAUAAAUGGCCAGGUUUCUGGGUUUGGGGAAAAUGUUAAAGAAAGCAGACCUUUCAUUAAUGUGAAAGGGAGUGGACUAGUCCCAGCACUGAGAGAGCUGAAUGGAUAAAUUCAGGGAGGUACAAUAGGAAAACUGGAUAACUCCCAAAGCCACCCACGUUUGCCCUUUGCCAUUUUACUGUAUUAUUUUAGGUUUGAAGUUAAUUCCCAGAAUGCCAGAUAUACCCAUAUUCAGAUGUAAGUACAAAAACAUAUCCUGAAGCCAAAUAGG